AAAGUUGGACUAAGAGAAUGUUUUUACCUCAACUCUAUAAAAAGAGGAAUUUGCGUAAGAGGCCAUAGUGGAA
rnacentral:tRNA from 1 species